rnacentral:lncRNA from 1 species
UUAAGCUUAGGAUAUUUAUGCAAUGGGGUGAUUUUUGGGCUAAGGACGAGUGAUGAAAUCCCGACCUUAUCUUUUUAAAUGAGUUCAGCCCUUAGAAUAUUUUAUGCUGAUGCCUUAUACUAUAUGCAACAAUCAAGAAUUUUUUUUUUUUAAUGUUUUAUGACAUGACAUUAAAUUUCAUUGAAUAGGUAAUCAAGCAAAUUAUUUAUUUUUUUUAAAUUUUAUGAGUUGAAGUUUGAAAUUUGAAU